rnacentral:rRNA from 1 species
ACACUGAGACAUGGUUCUACACAGGUGGUAAACUCCAUCUAAGGCUAAAUAUAACCACGAGACCGAUAGAGAACAAGUACCGCGAGGGAAAGUUGAAAAGAACUCUGAAAAGAGAGUUAAACCAGAGCGUGAAACUACCACGAGGUGAAAACUGAUAGACCUUCGUGGUCGAAAACUUCCCGAGUACAGUUUCCCUUCGCUCUCUCCUACCGCUCGCGGCCCGUCGUUACUUUUUUUUCGCCAUCAUACGGAAAACGUCCUUCCC